CGGGGAGGCAGCAAACUGCAGGAAUGCCUGGCACUGUGGGGCUGUCUGCAGCUAGUGGGGUGCCCGUGGCUCCCAGGGUGCCUAGGCCUGUGCAAGAGGAAACUGGCUCAGAAUUGUGGGGCAAAGGAGAGACAGUGGGUGGACCUGCAGAUGCCAAGGGUCCCACAAGGAUGGAGGUGCCCACCUCGACCAGGAUGCCUGGGCCCAUGGGGGAGAAGACUGGCUCUGGGGGUGUCUCAGGCUUGUUGGGAGGCAGACAGACUACAGGAGUGUCCAUGGCUGUGCGGCUUCCGGGGUCUGUGGGGGAGGGGACCCUCUUUGAGCGUGUCUCUGGCCUGUCUGGAAGAAGGCAGACUGCUGGGAGGCCUGUAGCUGCUAGAGGUUCCAUGGCUGUGGGAGUGCCCACAGCUCCCGGGCUCCCUGGGCCAAUGUUAGGGGAUACCGGCUCUGGGGAUGACUGCUCAGGCAUAUGGGCAAGGACACUGGCCACUGAGGGGCCCACAGCUGCCAGGGUUCCUGGACCUGUGGAAGGGGAGACAGGCUCUGAAGGUGUCUCAGGCCUGUGGAGAAGGAGACACAGUGGAGCCAUUCCCGAGGCCGGGAGGGUGCCUAUGCCUCUGGGGGUGCUUGCAGCUGUAGGAGCUCCCAUGGCAGGGCGCACACCUGCUGCGGUGUGGGUGACUGGGUCCUCGGGAGCAGAAGCAGAUGUGGGUGUCUCAGGUGUGACCAUGCUGAGGAGACAGUCCACAGGGGGAGUGGGGGCUUCAGAGGACGAGACAGGUGGUGGGAAUAUUCUGGGACUGGCCGGGAGCAGCCAGGCUGUGGGGGCAUCUCACACUUAUGUGCCCGGGACCAGGUUAUGGAGUUGUCCAAGGUCUGUGGGGGAAGAAACGGCCUUUGAGAAUGCUCUAGACAUGUCAGGGACAAGAACAGCCGUGGGGGUACCCCCAGUUUCAAGAGAGGAAAUAGGCCUUGGCCAUUUCAGAGACCACCUACAGCCAAGUGGGAGGAGGCUGGCUGGAGAAGUGUCUGCAGUCAGAGUGAGAGGGAGCAAUUUGGGAGAGAGUUAUGUGGGGGAGGCUAGAUUGAGGGGGGCGUUCCAGUAGUGUGUGUAGGGAAGAAGUUGG
rnacentral:lncRNA from 1 species